rnacentral:rRNA from 1 species
UACGUAGGGUGCGAGCGUUGUCCGGAAUUACUGGGCGUAAAGCGCACGUAGGCGGAUUUGUAAGUCAGGGGUGAAAUCCCGGGGCUCAACCUCGGAACUGCCUUUGAUACUGCAAGUCUCGAGUCCGAUAGAGGUGAGUGGAAUUCCUAGUGUAGAGGUGAAAUUCGUAGAUAUUAGGAAGAACACCAGUGGCGAAGGCGGCUCACUGGAUCGGUACUGACGCUGAGGUGCGAAAGCGUGGGGAGCAAACAGG